UACAAAACUAGAGUGUUCACAGUGUUGCCCGAUCACUGUAUACAAAACUAGAGUGUUCGCAGUGUCGCCCGAUCACUGUACACAAACUAGAGUGUUUACAGUGUCGCCCGAUCACUGUACACAAACUAGAGUGUUCACAGUGUCACCCGAUCACUGUACACAAACUAGAGUGUUUACAGUGUCGCCCGAUCACUGUACACAAACUAGAGUGUUCUAAGUGUCGCCCGAUCACUGUACACAAACUAGAGUGUUCUAAGUGUCGCCCGAUCACUGUACACAAACUAGAGUGUUCUAAGUGUCGCCCGAUCACUGUACACAAACUAGAGGGUUCACAGUGUCGCCCGAUCACUGUAUACAAACUAGAGUGUUCUCAGUGUCGCCCGAUCACUGUACACAAACUAGAGUGUUCUAAGUGUCGCCCGAUCACUGUACACAAACUAGAGUGUUCUAAGUGUCGCCCGAUCACUGUACACAAACUAGAGUGUUUGCAGUGUCGCCCGAUCACUGUAUACAAACUAGAGGGUUCACAGUGUCGCCCGAUCACUGUAUACAAAACUAGAGUGUUCGCAGUGUCGUCCAAUCACUGUACACAAAACUAGAGUGUUCACAGUGUCGCCCGAUCACUGUACACAAACUAGAGUGUUUGCAGUGUCGCCCGAUCACUGUAUACAAAAACUAGAGUGUUCACAGUGUCGCCCGAUCACUGUACACAAACUAGAGUGUUUGCAGAGUCGCCCGAUCACUGUAUACAAAAUCUAGAGUGUUCACAGUGUCGCCCGAUGACUGUAUACAAAACUAGAGUGUUCGCAGUGUCGCCCGAUCACUGUACACAAAACUAGAGUGUUCAGUGUCGCCCGAUCACUGUAUACAAAACUAGAGUGUUCACAGUGUCGCCCGAUCACUGUACACAAAAGCUAGAGUGUUCACAGUGUCGCCCGAUCACUGUAUACAAACUAGAGUGUUUGCAGUGUCGCCCGAUCACUGUACACAAAAGCUAGAGUGUUCGCAGUGUCGCCCGAUCACUGUAUACAAAACUAGAGUGUUUGCAGUGUCGCCCGAUCAACAACAUUCCAUCCCAGAAAUAAAACUUUCAACUGUACACAGAAACCAUAUUGUUUGAGAGUCUAUAUCAAAUAUGUUUCAUUCAAAUCAUUACCUACAUAGAAAAUGCCAUUUAAGAUAGAUAUCUUGCACAAUCAGAAGACUGCUUUCUUAAACACAAAUGUAUGAGAGAAAGACAUGUUUAACAUCAAAAGUAUGAUUUUAUGUUCAAUUUUGCACCGAAACAUUUAACAAGAAUCUUGACAUACUUGUUUUGUAAUUUAAGGUGAAUAAGAAAUAAUGUAUUUCCAGUAGGUGAUAAAUACAGCAGCACAAGUCAUCUCUAUAAUAUAAAGUUAUCAAAAUAUAACAGGGUAUAAAACAAGAGGUCCAUGGGCCUUUACCGUCACCUGAUGGAAGUAAGAAUGUUUCACUUAACUUUACUACAGUUUCAUCAAAAUCUGACAGUUUCUGAAAAAAAGUCAAAAAUAUUAUUGUUUGAAGAUGAUGCAUGACGACAGAUGAAAGGCGUUCACAAGAAACAAAACAAAAUUAAAAAUCCUAAUAAAAACAGAAAUUCAAUCUCCUUUUUCUCCAGAUGAACAAUAAUACUAAAAGCUUUAAACCCAGCAACAGUCACCACUGCUUCUUUCCUACCACUUAAAGGCUAUUGAUAUAGCAUUAAAAUAGGACAAAGGGAAUUAAAGACGACAUUGGUCUCCACUUGAUAUCAAAUAUGUACAAUUUUCUACCAGGGUGACAUUCUGUAUAAUGUCUCAUAUACAGAUGUCCUAUAUGUACAAUAUAUAUAUAUAUACUAUACCACACAAUCUUUCCAACAGCACAGGCCUAUUGCACAUUAUUUAUAUAUAUAUACAAGUCAGUGUGUGGUGUGUAUGUGUAGACCAAUGUUAUAUGUACAAGUUAUUUAAACAAUGAUCAAUAUAACAUAAUGUAAUGGCAGCAUUAGUAUUACACAAAAGAGGUAUGAUAAGGGCCGAGUCCUGCUGGCAUGUUUUUACUGACCCAGUGAACAUGGUACAAGAACAUUGUAGUGGCAUCCCUAAGUUACCUUACAUUGUUAUGGUUCCCUUAGGUUACCUGUACAUAGUUACAGUUCCCCUAGGUUACCUUACAUUUUUAUGGUUCCCUUAGGUUACCCUGCAUUGUUAUGGUUCCCCUAGGUUACCUGUACAUCAUUAUGGUUCCACUAGGUUCACCUACAUUGUUAUAGUUCCCCUAGGUUACCUGUACAUAGUUACGGUUCCCCUAGGUUACCCUACAUUGUUAUGAUUCCCCUAGGUUACUUAAAUUUGUUAUGGUUCCCCUAGGUUACCUGUACAUCAUUAUGGUUCCCCCUAGGUUACCUGUACAUCGUUACGGUUCCCCUAGGUUAUUUUACAUUGUUAUGGCUCCCCUAGAUUAACUGUACAUUGUUAUGGUUCCCCAAGAUUAACUGUACAUUGUUAUGGUUCCCCCAGGUUCCCCUACAUUGUAAUAGUUCCCCUAGGUUACACUACAUUGUUAUGGUUCCCCUCGAUUACCUGUACAUAGUUACGGUUCCCCUAGGUUACCCUACAUUGUUAUGGUUCCCCUAGAUUACUUUACAUUGUUAUGGUUCCCCUAGAUUAACUGUACAUUGUUAUGGUUCCCCAAGAUUAACUGUACAUUGUUAUGGUUCCCCUAGGUUCCCCUAUAUUGUUAUGGUUCCCCUAGGUUACCCUACAUUGUUAUGGUUCCCCUAGAUUACUUUACAUUGUUAUGGUUCCCCUAGAUUAACUGUACAUUGUUAUGGUUCCCCUAGGUUACCCUAUAUUGUUAUGGUUCCCCUAGGUUACCUGUCCAUCGUUACGGUUCCCCUAGGUUAUUUUACAUUGUUAUGGCUCCCCUAGAUUAACUGUACAUUGUUAUGGUUCCCCUAGGUUACCCUAUAUUGUUAUGGUUCCCCUAGGUUACCCUAUAUUGUUAUGGUUCCCCUAGGUUACCUGU
rnacentral:lncRNA from 1 species